UGAAACGCAAUGAACAGGAGUAGUAAAAGCUCAUUAUUCGGUGAAGAGAGCUGCGGGUUGGUGCAACGCAGUCCAAUGAUACUUUGAACUUGCCUGGGAGUGGUAAAGCGAAAGAUAGGAAUGAUUCCAUUCUUUUGUUUUAACGAUUAACCUUCGUUACAAGGUUUUUAAAGCAGGGUUCUUUAAAGAGCCAAUAAGAGUGGUACCGCGGUAAGCUUAAGGCAUAUCGUCUCUUUC
rnacentral:ncRNA from 1 species